rnacentral:lncRNA from 1 species
CACCAGCUCUUGAGAAGCUCUGGGACUCCACACGGCAUGAGGAGGACACGGGUUACGAAAGAGGCCCAGGACGUGGUCCCAGCCCACAAGGAGCUAGGCCCCUAGAGAGGACACUCAGGGAUGCUUGCCAAGAAAGCAAGUGAACAGCAGGUUGGAAAAUCUGAAAACAAACUUGUCAACAAGGUUAAGGCAGGGAAACAGUCAAGAAAAGGUCAAUAUCGCCUUCCAGUUGUUAGAACCCCAUUUCACCUUGCAAGGAAAAUGUUGAAAAACUUCACGUUAAGAUUGUUCCUGCAUAGACGAGACCCACCCGCGCUCAAACACCCAGCCAGAGAAGCCACAAAACAAUCUCCGUUGUCCUUGGAAGAAAGCCCGCCCUACCCACUAGGAGGGAGGGAGCCUCUCCUCCCUCGGGGAACACGCUGGAUCGAGGCGGACGGACCUCGGGACGCCACGCUGCAGGGGUCAACGAGGAACUGUCAAGUUAGGUUCGCCUGUGGAUUUUAUAAUAAAUACCCCCUCCCCCAUUUUAGGCAUCAACAUAGAACGCCUUUUGAUUUCCUAAUAAUAUGAAAAUAGACAAGUUUCCAAAGAGUUAAAUGUUUAUUCCAAAAAUAAGAGUCUCAGAAUAAAGGACAAUCCUUUAUCUUAAGUAUGUAGUUUUAUGAAAAACUCACUCAACUGUCUUACUUUUCUUCCCCCCCACCCCCCAAGAUCCACUAACAACCUGGGGCAGAGCUGAGCCCCGUGUUUGGGAACCCCUAGUGUGACUUGUCACCCAGCCCUCGGCUCAGGUCUGAAUUCUCCGGUUAACGACAGCAGCGACUUGGGGCCGGAGGCGGCUCCUGGCGGGGCGAUUCUCCGCGUUAGCUCGCCUCCCACACGGGAGCCGGCCGCUGACCCCCGGUUCUGCUCCUUGCACGUGGGGGCCGGUCCCCGGCGGCUCGGAGGAGGGCCGGACCUCCGCGGGGAGAGCCAGGGCGGGGACAACGACGCGAGGGCGCGGGGGCCACCUCCUCGGCGCGCCGACCUGGGGCGCGGGCGGCACGGGCCCCGAGCCACGGGCCCCGCGGGCUUCCUGUUCGCGGACGGCGCCACCGAGGCCCGGGACGUGCAGUCUGCCGGGCCGCCGCGCGCUCCUUCGGCGAGCGCCUUUUGGGGAAACCAGGAGAGGGGCCGUCGUUCCAGAAGGCGGGGCCCACGGCGGCCUCGCCCGGUCCUCGCCGCCACCGCCCCCUCCUUAGGCCCGUGGGCUCCUUCCACGGCCUCCGCUCCAAACCCGGUCCGAGAUCUGCCGGGCAACAGGCCUGCCGCCGCCUGGCCGCGGGGUAGGGCCCGCUCUUGGGGCGCACGCGCAGCGGGCCACCAACGCCACAUUCCGGCCUCCAGC